AUGAGAAUUCCAUUCUUGAUCCUCACCAUCCUUGUUCUCUCUCUCCAGUGCAAGGCUUCCGUUGCCUCCCCGCUUGUAAGAGAUAAGGAGACCAACAUCCUCUUCUACUUCCACAACAUCCAUGCCGAUAAGGAUUCCUCCUCGGUCCUUGUUGCACAAAACGCCAAUGCCACGGCCCAUGCUCGUGGUAUCGUGGCCUUUAGCUCUGUCUACGUGUUUGACAAUGUGAUCACUGAGGGGCCCUCGAUCACGUCUAAGGUGCUUGGGAAUGCACAGGGCAUGUACGUCGGCACAGCAAAAGAUGGGUACACGAUUUUGAUGGCCAUCGAUGUUGAGAUCACAACUGGCCCAUUCAAUGGCAGCUCGUUUGUAUUGUUCUCGAGAAACCCGUUGAGAUCAACCAGGGAGCUCCCCGUCAUCGGAGGUCGUGGUGCGUUCCGAAUGGCCGAAGGGUACGGCAUGCUCCGAACGGUGUGCGUUCACUGUCUCAACUCUGUGAACCCUGCCAGUGGAGAUGUCAUAGAGUACAACGUGACUCUCUGGCACCAUUAA
rnacentral:rRNA from 1 species